GACCGCAGCUGUGGAGCUGAUGGAUGUUAUUCUCUUUCCACUCCAAAAUCAUGGAUAAUGAAGAUGUUUGGUCGUUGUUCGGGAUUCGCCAGCGCGCGCUGUGGACGUUUUCCAGCACUGGAAGCUGAACAGCAGUUCUGGGAUAAAACAGAAUCCAUGAGGCCAGGAUAACGGCAUUGACUUCUGUCCUUUGGAGGUAUGUACAGCUGAACGAGCUCUCCCAUUGGUUAGGACUUCAGGAACUGGACUGAAGGCCUUACACGUGAACUACCAACAAUGGGUCUGAUUCACCAACCGUUCUUAAGAAGAAAUUUCUUCUUUAAACCAAAC